AAUGACUGUCCAUACAUUCUUUUUUCGUUUCUUCUUCUUUAGCCCCUGUUAAUCGGGAGGUUGCUUCGCUCUGAGAAAAGAAACGAAAGACGAAUGCAGAAAAAGCCUCCCUCUGGGAGGCUUUUUUAUU
rfam:Plesiomonas shigelloides 302-73 genomic scaffold scaffold00012, whole genome shotgun sequence.